AAGAGGUAGAGACUAGUAACUAUAUUCUAGUAUAUUCUAAGAAACUUCCACCAUCCUCCUUCCUUCUCUAUAGUCAAGCUUCCAUGAUCACCCAGUUUCUGUGCCUGGCCCUAGAAUAGCUUACUUAUUUUGGUGACAUGUAGAAAAUCUGCCUAACAACUCCCUUCUAGCAACUUCCAUCUAUUCCACACUGAAAGAAUUGGGGCAGGAAUUCCCAGUCCAGUUUUAGUAAAUGUUAAACAAUGUUAAAGAAAGCAUUAGUUUUCUCCUGGAAAAAAAAGGAAAGUUUUGACAAAAUCUCCGGAAAUGUUGCUUAAUGCAAAUAUUUUGGCCUUCCCACCUGGGUAUGCCAAUGAUAGUAUGUGAUUGCCUAAGGUGUGUCUCUUUAAUGUUUCUAUCUUCCAUCCUUGCCUCUAGUUGUUUGUCUUGAAUAAACCCUCCAGCCAAAUGAAGUCCUUGAAAUCGCAGAUUAUACUUUAUCCCUUUGCCAUUCUCUACAGUGUUGAAAACGCUGCUGGUGCAGGCAGGAACGCUGAUUAACUGGUGGCGUUGUCACAUUCUGUUUUGUUCGACUCCGCUAAUAUUAAGCCACCAGCUAGCCCUCAUAUUAAAAAUAGCCCAGAUUUAUCUUUCAAGGUUGUCACCUAGCUUUGACGUCUCUACCUUGCUUUUCCAGACAGAGCUUCACAUAAAGAAAACUGAGGUGCAGGGCUGGGGCAAGAAACGUCUUCCUUUGUGGCUGUUUCUUCGCAUAGGCUCAUAGAACAUUGUCCACGAAGGUGGGAGCAGCACCCUCCUCAAGUUUUAAGCGCAUACAAACCACUGGGGACCCUGGCGGAGGCGGGGAUCCUGGGGAAGGGCCCAAGAAUCUGCAUUUUGGAAAAGCAGUAAGGGGAUGGGCCACUCUCUGAGCAGCAAGUGUCUAGAUUCAAUGUUGUUCAACCAUUUCCAUUUCAAAACAUAUUUGUAAAUUUGCCCAAGUUAUAUAGAAAAUACAGUCUGAACAGAUGAUCAAAGUGGCAAAAUUGUUCUCCUGAAAACCGCAUUCCUUAAUAAAAACUUUGUUACAGAGGGGCGCCUGGGUGGC
rnacentral:lncRNA from 1 species